rnacentral:rRNA from 1 species
AAGUCUGACCUGCCCACUGAAAUUWUUUAAAUGGCCGCAGUAUUCUAACUGUGCAAAGGUAGCAUAAUCAUUAGUCUUUUAAUUGAAGGCUGGUAUGAACGGUUGGACGAGGUAUAGGCUGUUUCAUAUAAAUUUAUAAUAGAAUUUUAUAUUUUAGUUAAAAAGCUAAGAUUUAAUUAAAAGACGAGAAGACCCUAUAAAUCUUUAUACUUUGGGUUGUUUAAAUUUUUUAGAUAARUUUUAUUUUUAUAACGUGAAGUAUUUUGUUGGGGUGAUAUUAAAAUUUAAUGAACUUUUAUUUGUUUAAAAUCAUUAAUUUAUGAGUUAUUGAUCCAUUAGUAGUGAUUAUAAGAUUAAGUUACUUUAGGGAUAACAGCGUAAUUUUUUUGGAGAGUUCAUAUCGAUAAAAAAGUUUGCGACCUCGAUGUUGGAUUAAGAUAUAUUUUUAGGUGUAGCCGCUUAAAU